rnacentral:rRNA from 1 species
UACGGAGGGGGCGAGCGUUAUUCGGAAUUAUUGGGCGUAAAGGGCGCGUAGGCGGCUUGGUAAGUCAAAGGUGAAAUCCCUCGGCUCAACCGAGGAAUUGCCUUUGAAACUGCCUGGCUUGAGGCCGGGAGGGGGUAGCGGAAUUCCCAGUGUAGCGGUGAAAUGCGUAGAUACUGGGAGGAACACCGGUGGCGAAGGCGGCUACCUGGACCGGUUCUGACGCUGAUGCGCGAAAGCGUGGGGAGCAAACAGG